rnacentral:rRNA from 1 species
UAACGAAUAUUCCACAAUGCGCGAAAGCGUGAUGGAGCGAUGCCGCGUGCAGGGUGAAGCCCUUCGGGGUGUAAACUGCUGUCAGGGAUUACCAACAUAAUGAGGAGUCCCAGAGGAAGAGGCGGCUAACUCUGUGCCAGCAGCCGCGGUAAUACAGAGGCCUCGAGCGUUAAUCGGAAUUACUGGGCUUAAAGGGUGCGUAGGCGGAGCGAUAAGUGCCUUGUGAAAUCCCAUGGCUCAACCAUGGAAUUGCUCGGUAGACUAUCGUUCUUGAGGUAGGUAGGGGUCACUGGGACUCUAGGUGGAGCGGUGAAAUGCGUAGAUAUCUAGAGGAACGCCGAUGGUGAAGACAGGUGACUGGGCCUAUUCUGACGCUGAUGCACGAAAGCGUGGGGAGCAAACGGG